GAUAGAUUGAUGAAUAUUUGUCAAUAUUUCUGCUAGAGAAUUUAUUUUUUUAUGCAUUUUAUUUUUCUUGUUUAAUGCAUAACAUGUUCAGGCAUGUAAAGUAUAAUUAUUUUUGUAUAAAUGUAUUUAAUUUUGUUGCGAAACAGAAUUAACUAUUUAACCAGUGUGUCGAUGAUUUGCUGACGUCACUUGUGCGCCAGCUCGUGGUGAGAGAGAUGCGAGCCGCAUUUCGGCUGCUGCUUAAUCUUUUCCAUCCUCGCCAUUUCUUCUUUAGAUGAAUGCCUGAACUGUUUUGUUGCAUAAGUGAUCAUUGGAUGCCAUGUGUGCUUGAUGAGAUGAGACAGGGGUAACUGCAGCCUGGAGCAAUGGGCGUGCCGAAAGGUAGGGGCGUGCCAAAAGGUUUCUGAUUGGUGAAAGGAGUUUUACUGUAUUGGCCAAUCAGCUUUAAACUUUUGUUCCACACUCCAGUCCAGCAGGUGGCGGUAAAGCACUUAUCAGUUGGUUUGCUAACCGCCAAACAUUAAGAGGAAGAAGACCAAUCAGCAUUAAACCUAAGUAAUUUCCUUUAGGCAAGAGAAGAUGGCGGUGACACAUGUUACAGUGAGAAAAAUCGAUGAACGCAUGUGCAUCGAAGGCGAAGAAUUCAGAGUUGGAAGUUUGUAUCGUUGUCCUUUUUGUCCAACUAGUGUUUUUAAACCACGGGAGAGACACAAGGUGUUCACUCAUUUACAAAGCCACAGAUUUCGAGCGGUUCAUCAUGAACGUAAGUACAAGUUUCGUUUUCCUAUGCAUGUUACAUAAAGGAUAAUUUGGGUAAUUUCGUGUCAAAUCAACAAAACUGUUCAAUUUUUAUUUAUUUAUUUAUUUUUUAUUUUUUUGAAGAAAGACAAACAUAAACAUUGAUAAAAAUCAAAGCCAAAAAUAUUAAAUAUAAUUGAUGCAUAUUUACAGUGAAAUUCAGUAUUUGUAGAUGGGGUCUAAAUUACAAUUUUCCUGUAAUUCUGAGCCAAAAAAGGGUAAGUGAGUUUAGAAAGAUGACAGAUUAAUUUCGUUUUUUGGGGCAAAAAAACAAAGACCCCCCCCCCCCA
ensembl:lncRNA